AAAAAAUCGAGCUGGGGGGUUCCCUGGUCCCCGGCGUUGGGGCGGGGAGCGCUACGCCGAGGGAGGGGGCGGCGCAGACCCGACUAGGGGACACCUGGUCGAGCGCAGCUACCGCUCUGCUCGAGCCCUGCGCUCCAGUGCCGCCGCUGGCUGGAGAGCUCUCCCGGACCGGGGGGUCUUCCUCCGCCGCUGACAGGUAGAGAACUUGUGUCACCGGAGUGGUGUCUGAAAGGUGAACAUCUCCACGGCGGCACAAGGGCGACGCUGGCACACACACGCACGCGCAGGACACGGGGGACUGGAACCGAGGAACGGGACGGAAGGGAUAACCUGUGCGAGCGAAGCGCGACGCCGGGAUCGCGCCGAAAAAUCCCCCAAAAAUCGCCAAAAAAUAACUUAAGCCAGGAGGUAGCCGGCGGAGCUUCGGCAAGUUUGGCGCAGACGAUUUUAACCAUUAGAAGAGAACCAAUUCUGGAAAACAAGCUAAGUUUCUUUGACUGAAUACUGACAUAAUGCAUUGGAACAUGAUAGAGGAUUAAGGUUUAACAAUGAUAAAACGAAGAUACUACUAAAACAGCACUCUAAGUAGCUCAACAAUUAUUUUAGCUGGGGAAUAAUGAAGCAUUUGCUGUAUAAACAAGAAGACCUCAGUUCAAUUUCCAUCACUAAAUAGAGCAUGGUAAGUUGGUUACAGUAACACGUUUUUACUCCCAGAAAUUACAAGAUUCUAGUAUUUGCUUGAGAAUAAAUCUUUUAAAAUUUGUAUAAGUGAAGCAACUCAAAUAUAAAUUCCUCUUGACUUUAUUGUCUGAUAUGGCAAAUUCAGGAGA